AGCUUGCUACCUGACCUAGCGGCGGACGGGUGCGUAAUGCUUAGGAAUCUGCCUAUUAGUGGGGGACAACAUUCCGAAAGGAAUGCUAAUACCGCAUACGCCCUACGGGGGAAAGCAGGGGAUCUUCGGGCCUUGCGCUAAUAGAUGAGCCUAAGUCAGAUUAGCUAGUUGGUGGGGUAAAGGCCUACCAAGGCGACGAUCUGUAGCGGGUCUGAGAGGAUGAUCCGCCACACUGGGACUGAGACACGGCCCAGACUCCUACGGGAGGCAGCAGUGGGGAAUAUUGGACAAUGGGCGAAAGCCUGAUCCAGCCAUGCCGCGUGUGUGAAGAAGGCCUUUUGGUUGUAAAGCACUUUAAGCGAGGAGGAGGCUACUGAGAUUAAUACUCUUGGAUAGUGGACGUUACUCGCAGAAUAAGCACCGGCUAACUCUGUGCCAGCAGCCGCGGUAAUACAGAGGGUGCGAGCGUUAAUCGGAUUUACUGGGCGUAAAGCGUGCGUAGGCGGCUUUUUAAGUCGGAUGUGAAAUCCCUGAGCUUAACUUAGGAAUUGCAUUCGAUACUGGGAAGCUAGAGUAUGGGAGAGGAUGGUAGAAUUCCAGGUGUAGCGGUGAAAUGCGUAGAGAUCUGGAGGAAUACCGAUGGCGAAGGCAGCCAUCUGGCCUAAUACUGACGCUGAGGUACGAAAGCAUGGGGAGCAAACAGGAUUAGAUACCCUGGUAGUCCAUGCCGUAAACGAUGUCUACUAGCCGUUGGGGCCUUUGAGGCUUUAGUGGCGCAGCUAACGCGAUAAGUAGACCGCCUGGGGAGUACGGUCGCAAGACUAAAACUCAAAUGAAUUGACGGGGGCCCGCACAAGCGGUGGAGCAUGUGGUUUAAUUCGAUGCAACGCGAAGAACCUUACCUGGUCUUGACAUAGUAAGAACUUUCCAGAGAUGGAUUGGUGCCUUCGGGAACUUACAUACAGGUGCUGCAUGGCUGUCGUCAGCUCGUGUCGUGAGAUGUUGGGUUAAGUCCCGCAACGAGCGCAACCCUUUUCCUUAUUUGCCAGCGGGUUAAGCCGGGAACUUUAAGGAUACUGCCAGUGACAAACUGGAGGAAGGCGGGGACGACGUCAAGUCAUCAUGGCCCUUACGACCAGGGCUACACACGUGCUACAAUGGUCGGUACAAAGGGUUGCUACCUAGCGAUAGGAUGCUAAUCUCAAAAAGCCGAUCGUAGUCCGGAUUGGAGUCUGCAACUCGACUCCAUGAAGUCG
rnacentral:rRNA from 1 species